rnacentral:sRNA from 1 species
GCAAGCACAAAGUUUGGCCAGCCACACAUUGGAGAAACAAAAGCAAUGUUUAAAGUGUUCCAUGUAACGGAUUUUUUCCCAAGAUAUGGACAAAGCUGGUUUUUACUCUCCAGAGUGUUGCACGGAGUAGGGCGGGCUUGGGGGUUAAGCGCAUGCGAGAGCUCUGUGCGCUUUACAGGACCUCUGGAAGCAACUACUCCUGAUUAACCUCGGUGAAGUUAAGGAAAACUUCGUGGCUGAAGAUGUGAAUGAAGAACAAGAUUACUAUCCUCUGCCAGCAGCUCCCAGAUCCUCUCCCUCUCUUUAGCUUUCACUGUGUUUGAUAUCAAGAAUAUGAAAUGUGAAUUCCACGGUCCAAGAGGGGAAGAGUCACCUUUCACAAACUUCGUUGUUCUCUUCUUUGGAAGGGAAAUUAGUGUUCUAGGCGAUUGAGUCCCUUCAUUAAUGAAACUUGAAACCCUGUUAUGCAUUGGCAAAUAAC